rnacentral:lncRNA from 1 species
GUUUAUGAUAUUUACAUGCAUUGGUUCAAUAAAUAUAAUUGGAUGAACAUAAUUUUUCACCAGUCACUGGUUUCAUAUGACUUUACAGCAAUACCAAUAAUGUACGGUUGAGAUUAUCAUAACAAUUUGUUUAAUGAUAUUACAAUAGAUUGUUGCUCGCGUCAAGUCAAGUAGCAAUUAUUUCAUGCAUAGUAAGGUCGAGAACAAUCUAAAAUUGAAUACAAAAAAGUUAUGCAAGUUUGGCAGAUCCGAAGGAAAGGCGGGAAAUGUUGACUGUCACUGAAAUAUCAGGAUAUGUUGGAAAGGGAAAGACAUUUUCUUUGCAACAUAUCUCUUA